rnacentral:rRNA from 1 species
UGCAAGUCGAGCGGACUGGAGGGAGCUUGCUCCCGAAGGUCAGCGGCGGACGGGUGAGUAACACGUGGGUAACCUGCCUGGUAGACUGGGAUAACGCUUGGAAACGAGUGCUAAUACCGGAUAAUCUCCUGAAUCGCAUGGUUCAAGAGUAAAAGGAGCUUUCGCUUCACUACCAGAUGGACCCGCGGCGCAUUAGCUAGUUGGUGAGGUAACGGCUCACCAAGGCGACGAUGCGUAGCCGACCUGAGAGGGUGACCGGCCACACUGGGACUGAGACACGGCCCAGACUCCUACGGGAGGCAGCAGUAGGGAAUCUUCCGCAAUGGGCGCAAGCCUGACGGAGCAACGCCGCGUGAGUGAUGAAGGCCUUCGGGUUGUAAAACUCUGUCUUCUGUGAAGAACCAUCCUGUGCAGAGAAAGCUCAGGACCUGACGGUAACAGAGGAGGAAGCCCCGGCUAACUACGUGCCAGCAGCCGCG